AAAAUCUAUAUAACUGGAAGAAGCAGAGUAUCUUUUUUUAUUUGCCGUAUUGAGAGCAUAAUUUGUUGCGGCACAAUCUGGAUGUGAUGCAUAUUGAAAAGAAUGUGUGUGACAAUGUGCUCGGGACACUGUUGAACAUUGAAGGGAAAAUAAAGGACAAUUUAAAGGCACGUCUCAACAUGCAAGAUAUGGGUAUAAGACAAACAUUGCACCCAAGGCAGCUUUCAUCGAACAAAACAUAUUUGCCACCUACAUGCUUUACCAUGUCAUCGAGUGAGAAAGAUGAUUUCUGCAAAGUUAUGAAGCGAGUGAAAGUUCUAGAUGGUUAUUCAGCCAAUAUUUCAUGAUGUGUGCAUCUCAAAGAAUGCAAAAUUUCAGGGCUCAGGAGCCAUGAUUGUCAUGUUAUGAUGCAGCAAUUACUUCCGGUAGCGAUACGAACAACAUUGCCUAAGUGCGUGAGCUCAGUAUUGCUUGAAUUGUGCAAUUUCUUUAAGGAAUUGUGUUCCAAAGUUGGCCAAGUAAAAGAUUUUGAUCUACUGGAAUCUCAAAUUGCGGUAACACUUUGUUAUCUAGAAAAGAUUUUCCCGCCGGCUUUUUUUGAUAUUAUGGUGCAUUUGCCCAUUCAUUUAGCGGGCGAGGCCAAAAUUGCAGGACUAGUACAAUACCGAUGAAUGUACCCCAUUGAAAGGUACAUGUUAAUGUUUAUAAAUUAAUUUUAUUUGUCAUGUUGUUCUAGUUGCGCUAAUCGACCAUAUAUUUCUAAACUUCUUAAUAUUGAUAAUCAUAGGUACUUGCUCACAUUGAAGUCAUAUGUACGUAAUAAAAGUCGGCUCGAGGGUUCAAUUGCAGAAGGGUACUUGACAGAAGAAUGCUUAACUUUCUGUUUGAGGUACUUGCAUAAUGUGGAGACAAGGUUUAAUUGACCAAUACGAAAUGACGACUAUGGUAACACCGUUAUAGAACAAUCUGCUAUUUUCCCACGAAUAGGUCGUGCAUUAGGGAAGCCUGGGGAUUGUGUGCUAGAUAAAGUUACAUUUACACAGGCACAUCGAUAUGUUCUGUUUAACAGCGGUACACUCAUCCCAUUUCUUGAAGAACACAUGAAUGUUGUUAAGCAGAAGAAUCCUCGCGCACGACCAAGGGAUAUAGAACGCAUUUACAAUGAAACAUUUCAUAAAUGGUUUAGCGAUCAUGUUGAACAGCUGCGCCAGGUAGAGAAUGAGCAGGUCUCAGAAGACCUUAGAUGGCUAGCUCGGGGUCCUUGUGCAACAAGAAGAUACAAGAGUUUUAUCAUAAAUGGCUUCAGGUUUCACACUAAAGAUCGAGAAAAGAAAAGAAAAACUCAGCAUAGUGGAGUUGUGGUGACUACAAAGACAUCAAGCUUUGCGACUGUCAACGACAGAAACCCUAUUGCAGGAGAUGUAACUUACUACAGUGUCUUGACAAACAUAAUGG